GCCCUGAUGGCGGAAUUGGUAGACGCGCUAGCUUCAGGUGCUAGUGUCCUUUAUGGACGUGGAAGUUCGAGUCUUCUUCAGGGCACCA
rnacentral:tRNA from 1 species